rnacentral:rRNA from 1 species
UACGUAGGGACCGAGCGUUGUCCGGAAUCAUUGGGCGUAAAGAGCGCGUAGGCGGCCACUUAAGUCCUGCGUGAAAUCUUGCGGCUCAACCGCAAGCGGUCGUGGGAAACUGGGUGGCUAGAGUGCGGGAGAGGAGAGUGGAAUUCCUGGUGUAGCGGUGGAAUGCGCAGAUAUCAGGAAGAACACCCGUGGCGAAGGCGGCUCUCUGGAACGCAACUGACGCUGAGACGCGAAAGCGUGGGGAGCAAACAGG